rnacentral:rRNA from 1 species
UACGAAGGGGGCGAGCGUUGUUCGGAAUCACUGGGCGUAAAGGGCGCGUAGGCGGCCCUCCUUGUCGCGUGUGAAAGCCCCGGGCUCAACCUGGGAACGGCGCGCGAGACGGGGGGGCUGGAGUUCGGGAGAGGAGCGUGGAAUUCCCAGUGUAGAGGUGAAAUUCGUAGAUAUUGGGAAGAACACCGGUGGCGAAGGCGGCGCUCUGGACCGAGACUGACGCUGAGGAGCGAAAGCGUGGGUAGCAAACAGG